AGAGUUUGAUCCUGGCUCAGAACGAACGCUGGCGGCAGGCCUAACACAUGCAAGUCGAGCGCCCCCUUCAGAGCGUAGCAAUCAGCGGACAGCAUGACAGCGAUCAGAGAGAAACUGAUUGCUGAUCGCUGUCGUGCUGAUGGCUGCUUUCUGAUGGGGGAGCGGCGGACGGGUGAGUAACGCGUGGGAAUUUUCCUCAAGGUAGGGAACAACUCAGGGAAACUUGGGCUAAUACCCUAUGAUGUCUAGCGACCAAAGAUUUAUCGCCUUGGGAUAAGCCCGCGUCAGAUUAGGUAGUUGGUGGGGUAACGGCCUACCAAGCCUGCGAUCUGUAGCUGGUCUGAGAGGACGAUCAGCCACACUGGGACUGAGACACGGCCCAGACUCCUACGGGAGGCAGCAGUGGGGAAUCUUGCGCAAUGGGCGAAAGCCUGACGCAGCCAUGCCGCGUGAAUGAUGAAGGUCUUAGGAUUGUAAAGUUCUUUCGCCCGUGACGAUGAUGACGGUAACGGGAGAAGAAGCCCCGGCUAACUUCGUGCCAGCAGCCGCGGUAAUACGAAGGGGGCUAGCGUUGUUCGGAAUUACUGGGCGUAAAGCGCGCGUAGGCGGUUUUGCAAGCCAGAGGUGAAAUGCCUGAGCUCAACUUAGGAAUUGCCUUUGGGACUGCGAGACUUUGAGGACGGUAGAGGUGAGUGGAAUUCCCAGUGUAGAGGUGAAAUUCGUAGAUAUUGGGAAGAAUACCGGUGGCGAAGGCGGCUCACUGGCCCGUUUCUGACGCUGUAGCGCGAAAGCGUGGGGAU
rnacentral:rRNA from 1 species